UUAUCAAAAACUAUUGGACAAGACAAAAAGAAUCCACACAUUAGCUGACUUAACUUGCCAAUUAAUUCAUCAUGAUCACAAAAUCUUUAUGGACAUUUUCUGCCAUCUCUGCAGCAACAACAACUCAUGCCUUCUUCACCUUUCCCAACUAUCACUACAUGCGUCUAAACCUGCUAUAGCCACCACACUUCAUUAUGUGAGGAAGAAAUUUUCAUUCCUCAUAAUAGCAUGACCCUUAUACUAAUGCAAGGUAUGCAAACACUAACCACUCACCUUCCUCUUUCUCUGUCUCUCUUUCUAACCACUCAGCCUCUUAUUCUCUCUUUAACCUUCUCAUUUAUCUUCUCCAUCAACCUUCUCCGUCGCUGCUGUCGCAAACAUCGCCACCAUUAUUACGAACGCUGUCGUCAUUGCUGUAAAUAUUCUUACCAUUGUUGUUUUUGCCGCUGAACCUUUAUUCUUCUUUUUCAUUUUCUCUUGUUCUGCAUUUAAAAUUUUUUGUUUGAAUUCUGUUUAUUUUAAAUUUUAUUACUUCAAGUUAAUAAUUAAUUAGUAGAAUUUAGUUAGUUUAAUUUUUUAUUUUAGUAGAUUUAGGUGAUUAAGAUAAAUUAGAAUAGAUUAUAUUAGGUUCUGAGGUUGCUGGAAAAUAUUAAAUUUUAAGUUAUUUGCUUAUUUUUGUUACUGAAAUUGUUUGAAAAAUGUUUGACUGUAUUAAUAAUGAUUGAGCUGUUUGUAUAUUAUCUUAACAAUGAUUGAAAAAAUUAAUAAGUUGAGAAGGGUUGAUGGAUAUUUGGUUUAGAUGAAACCCUUAAAAGGUGAAGAAAUCCAAAUUUUAAGGGAGAUUCUAUCGAAAUUUUUAUAAAAUUUUCAAUGAAAUCGAAAAAAUUAAAAUUAUGUUUUUGAAAGUCUUAGAAUUAUAUUUAAGGUUGAUAGAUAUUUAUGUUAAUUGUGACAAGAAUACGUUUUCCCUUAAAAUUCUUAUUUUAAGUGUUUUGAGUUAUUUGUUGAAUUAUUUUGUUAUCCAUACUUUUUCUCAUAUUUGUUAUAAUUAAUUAUUGAGUUGUUGUAUUUUUGUACAAUUAUUAAUUUGAAUAAUUAUAUUGAGCUUAGUUUAUAUUUUUUAUUUUGUUAAGUUGGUAUUAUGAUAAAUAUUUAUGACAUUUACAAGAGAACUAAUAUAAACUAAUGUACAUGUGCUAGCUUUUGACCCAUACAGUUUAUUAUAUUUGUAUAUAAUCAUUUUGGUUCUAGUGAAAAAAUUUUUCUCCUUUGCAAUUAAUGUUUGAAAAAUGUUAGGUAAUCAAUAAAUUUUUUGAAUAACAUGAACAAUCACCAAUCAAAUCAAAACAUACUACAUCUUUAAAUUACCCACCUAAAUCUUAAUAUUAGAAUAACCAUCCGCACACCUAGUAAAAUGAACAUCCAAUAUAUCCAUUGUUCACAUUGUUUAGUAUUUUCAUUGUCUACCUAUACUUUUCCUUAAUGUUUUAUUGCUCUAUAGACACUUGUUAGUUUACUAAACUAACCAAAACACUUAUUCAUUCUAAUUUAAUCAUUUUGAAACUAAAACAUUAUGUAAUUUUUUUGGGUUAAUUUACUAAACUAAAAUAGUUUUAAAAUUAUUUGUUAUUUCUAUUUCUUCUUAUGUUAUUAUUUAUUGGUAUUUGUUAUGUUAUUAAUAUGUUAAUAAUAUAUUUGCUGUAUAAACAUGACGACAGAUAGUAGAAGUAGGUCGAGUGGGUCAUGUGGUCGUGGUAGACGGCGGGCUUCCACCGAAUCUCCCAAGGCUGCCCAGUCAUCGCCCUCUACCCCGGCUCAUCGACCCUUAUGACGUCACAUGCGGGUCCAGCAGACCAGCAAUCCAUCAUGGUCCCAAACUUAAACUGUAAAAUCCGUGAAUUAAUAAAUAAUUAGCUAAUAAAUUAAUUAUUAUUUAAAGAAAUUAAAAACUUAAAUUUUAUAGUUUAAAGAAAGAGAAAUAAUUAAAAUAAGAAUUUUGAUACUAAUUUUAAAGAAUUUGGCCCAAAAUUAGACCAAACGGACCGAACUGGAAAAACCGGGCCCAUAUUGGGCCCAACCCAAUCUAGCCACACUUAAGCAAACUCAACCUUCCUUUCCUCCCUUCAUACUCAUUCACGCUAGAAACAUUUGGAAAGGGGGAAGAACAUGUAACAUUCCCAAACCCUUGGCUUUGAUUCAAUCUUCUAUAACUUUUCACUCUAAUCGCUGUAUCGUUUGUGGCCAUGCGUCUACGACGUCGAUCUCUACAAAGCCCAAUAAAAAAUUAGGUAAGAAAACCACAUUCCCAGUUUCUAUUUUCUCUUCUCCAAUUCGAAAACUGUAUGAUUUUGGGUGUUGAGAUUUUUUUAUUAAUUUGGUGUUUUAGGAUCAAAUUGACUUGAGAAAUUAGUGAAUUUCUGCUUAAUUGAGGUACAUACAAGGUAAUGAUCUUCAACCCUAGUAAAUCCCUUAGUUAAUUGUAUUUUUGGUAUUGAAUGUGUAUGUAUGGAUGCAAUGAUAUGAAAUAGGUGAUGUAUAUAUGUGUUUUGGAGCGUAAUUAAGGAGAUGGAAACUUGAUGGGGAGCUUUGGAGGUUGAAUUUUGGAGGUGGAACUUGUGAGCUUGCUCAGUUGGGUUGCCUUUAGGUUAUACGAGAAAAUUGGAUAAGGUCUAAUUUUGGUUUCUCGUAUUUAAUAUAUAAUGUCUUAUGAAAACUUAGGUUAGAUGAUCAUAGGAAAGGUUGGAAUGUAUGAUUAUGUUAAAUUUUUAGCCCUUUUGAUGAUAAUUAUUGAAAUAGGUUGAGUAUGGGUUGGUGAUUGAUGUUUAUGAUGAAAAUAGAAUGCUAAAUGAUGAUUUUAAUGUUAGUAGAUAAUGUGAUGUUAAUGGAUAUGUAUGAGGUGGUAUGUUGAUGCACUUGUUUGGAUAGUUGAGAAAUUCUUAUAUGAGAUUGUUUAAAAUUGAGGUAUAAUUGGUUGUGGUAGGAUGUGGGUUGGUGUUGCUGUGAUAUGAUAUAUUUUGGUGCUGAUUAUAAGUAUAGAAAGUUGAUUUUGAGUUGUGAUUUGAUGAAAAUAGAGGUUUGAGGAUUUUUGUGAAAAUCUAAUUUUCGGCCAAACUUCGGCAAGCCAUAACUUAGCUUUCGAACCUCUAAAAUUUUCCAAUCUUAUUUCAUAUGAAAAUUGGGUCCGUGAAGUUUAUGCACGUCGGAAGUUCGGUGGGCAAAACUGAAAUUCUGUAACACUUAGCUAAUUUUUCUCCCUGCAGAACUUGCGUAUGCGAGCAGUGAAUUUGAGGGGUUGUGUACGUAACGCGACCAACCCUUUCGGGUUUGGUAUCUCGCGUACGCGAGCAAGAAAAAACGCACCCACCCGUACGCGUGGCCUACGCGUAUCCAGGAACCCUGUUUUCAGAAAAGUGAAUUUUAUGUUUUAAAAUCUAAUUUCAAACCUUUAAACCUCUAUUUUUACUCUCUAGGACCCUAAACUUUAGUUAUAAGUAUAGUGAAGAGAUUAAACUUUGGAGAAGUAGUUAACUUGGAAUUGAAGAAAGAUUUUAAAAAUAUAAUGUGGUUGUGGAAGAUGGUACUUGAGUUGAUAAGAUGAUGAAAGUAAUGUAUGAGGCCAUUAAGAGAAUAAGGCAAUAUUGAGAAUAAUGAAAUAUGAUUAAUUAUUAAAUGAUUACGAUUUAUUGAGGAGGUGCGGUAAUGUUGCGAAUAUGCCGAAGAUGCAUAUAUGAGCUAAUGAAUGAAUAAAUGAUGAAAUAUAAUUAUGAUUGAAUAUUAUUGAGACAUUCGUUGACCCCGUACGUAAGAUGUGACCAGACAUUUUAACUCCCCCGGUUUCCCCUUGGGCAUGCGUAUAUUGAUGAGCGGAUAUUUUAUACGCUUUUUGGCAUUAUUUUCAUAUAGUUUUCAUUAUGUUUUGUUUAAGUUUUAUUAAGUUUUCAUAGGUUUUAGUACAAAAUUCACAUUUUUUGGAUUCUACUUUGAGUUUUUGUGUUUUAUGGUGAUUUCAGGUAUUUUUUAGCUGAAAUUGAGGAGUUUGAAUAGAAUUUUGAUUUAGAGACAGAGAAAGGACUGCAGAUGCUAUCAGGAUCUGACCUUCGUAUACUCGAAAGAGCUUUUCUAGAGUUACAGAAGUCCAAAUGACACACUCUCAAUGGCUAUGGAAAGCUAACUUCCAAAACUUUUUAGAAAUAUAUAAUAGUUUAUACUUUGCUUUGGAAAUGAAGGCCCAAAACUGGCGUUCAACGCCAGCCACCAGUCCCACUCCUGGCGUUCAACGCCCAAAGGGGAGUAGCUGGCGUUGAAACACCCAAAAGGGAGCCCAGGGGUGGCGUUCAACGCCCAUAAGGAGUCUAGCUCUUGGGAGACACUCAAGCUCAGCCCAAGCACUCACCAAGUGGGCCCCAAAAGUGAAUUUUUGCACUAUCAACUUAGUUUAUCUUAUUUUUGUAAUCCUUAGUCAUUAGAUUAGUAUAUAUAUACAAGAGUUCACCCUUGUUAGGGGACUCUUGCCCACUUUUUAUGUUUCUACUGUAUUAUUCUAUCAGCAUGAGUCACUAACCUCCUAAGGUUAAGGUUAGGAGCUCUACUGAGUUUCAUGGAUUAAUAAUAUUACUGUUUUACUUCAAUAUGUCUGAUUCUAUUCUCUUAUGCAACCUCGUUCUUCACCUCAUGAACUGAGGGAGACCCGUGACAAUCACCCUUGUUCUACUUGGGUUCUGUGCGAGUCCUGACCCAGGUAGCAUGAAACUAAAGCUAGAGAUUGCAUUGCGGAUUCCAAUAGAGCAUCUGAGCAACUUUGGAUAUGUG
rnacentral:lncRNA from 1 species